AUGAGGCAUUUGGUAUGCAGAGGAGAAGAUAAUGAUCCAGAUAAUCAUGGUCUCAUUGGCAAAUAUUUGUUGUUUGUCCAUUUGUUUUGUGAGAAGAUUUUUACCUAUUGGAUACUUGAGUUGAGGCACUUGGGUAGCAGGUUACUGUCAAAUAGCACAUGUUCCUUCAUGGGGUGGUUGUCAACUCAAGACUUCAAACUUGUUUGAAAAUUUUUAGCAUCGACAUUUCUGUGACAGACGUUUUUCAAAGUAAGUAAGACAAAUGAACACAAAGCGAUCCAGCUAAGCAAUAGUCUUUUUACUGUCAUUUUCCAUCCUCUAUGCCCUGUUCCUAGCAAUGCCUGCUCUGAUUUAGAUAAGGUACUUAGUUUUGAAAGUAUUUCAAAUACUGUUUUAUUCUAUCAUCUUCCAACAGUGCAUCCCCAGUGGGACAAAAAAUGCCUUUCAGGCUCUCACAGAGAAGUUUGUGAAUGAAGCAAUUGGUAUAAAGUGUUCAUGUGUUGAAUAAAUGUCAUUUUCCCCUUUUCA
rnacentral:lncRNA from 1 species